AUUGAACGCUGGCGGCAGGCCUAACACAUGCAAGUCGAGCGGAUGAAGGGAGCUUGCUCCUGGAUUCAGCGGCGGACGGGUGAGUAAUGCCUAGGAAUCUGCCUGGUAGUGGGGGAUAACGUCCGGAAACGGGCGCUAAUACCGCAUACGUCCUGAGGGAGAAAGUGGGGGAUCUUCGGACCUCACGCUAUCAGAUGAGCCUAGGUCGGAUUAGCUAGUUGGUGGGGUAAAGGCCUACCAAGGCGACGAACCGUAACUGGUCUGAGAGGAUGAUCAGUCACACUGGAACUGAGACACGGUCCAGACUCCUACGGGAGGCAGCAGUGGGGAAUAUUGGACAAUGGGCGAAAGCCUGAUCCAGCCAUGCCGCGUGUGUGAAGAAGGUCUUCGGAUUGUAAAGCACUUUAAGUUGGGAGGAAGAGCAGUAAGUUAAUACCUUGCUGUUUUGACGUUACCAACAGAAUAAGCACCGGCUAACUUCGUG
rnacentral:rRNA from 1 species